rnacentral:rRNA from 1 species
GCAACCUGAGUUCAGUCGUGAUUACCCGCCGAACUUAAGCAUAUC